rnacentral:rRNA from 1 species
GUCUACGGCCAUACCACCCUGAACGCGCCCGAUCUCAUCUGAUCUCGGAAGCUAAGCAGGGUCGGGCCUGGUUAGUACUUGGAUGGGUGACACUUGCCGUUUGAACUGAGUCAGUAGGUG